AGUGAACGCUGGCGGCGUGCCUAAUACAUGCAAGUCGAACGGAGUGGCGCACGGGUGAGUAAUAUAUAGCUAAUCUGCCCCUUGCUGGAGGACAACAGUUAGAAAUGACUGCUAAUACUCCAUAGCAAGGGAUGAGACUAUAUCGUAUCAGCUAGUCGGUGGGGUAACGGCCUACCGAGACUAUGACGCGUAACUGGUCGGAGAGGAUGAUCAGGGAAAUUGGAACUGAGACACCGGCCAAACUACUACGGGAGGGAGCAGUAGGGAAAAUUGCGCAAUGGGGGAAAACCUGACGCAGCAACGCGGCGUGGAGGAUGACACUUUUCGUAGCGUAAAAUCUGUUUGUUAGGGAAGCGGUACCUAACGAAUAAGCACCGGCUAACUCCGUGCCAGCAGCCGCGGUAAUUC
rnacentral:rRNA from 1 species